UUUUUGGAGAUCAACAUGAUCUUAGUUGUUCAUUGAAAUUCCCUUCAUGUCCUCUUGUGCUAUAAAAAAUCAAAAGGAAAAGUGGGCACAGCUUAGGAGCUGAAGCAACUGUACCAUAGAUACAGUGUACCCUCAUAUUGCAAAGAAAUCAGACACAAGUUCCAAAAAAAUAAUAACAAUAGAAUGAAAUGGAAAAAAGGCCCCAAACCUUUCUAGGUACUGAAACCAGGUGACGUGGACUUUUGGCCUACUGAUCCCUUUCAUAACUCACAGUUUUUUGUAUGAGUGUUUCGAUAAAUGGACUCUGCGAAGAC
rnacentral:lncRNA from 1 species